UCCUUAGUAAACUCCAGUGGUAGAGGCGGUCGGCUGUUAACCGAUUGGUCGUAGGUUCAAAUCCACCUGAGGGG